UGAAAACUCAGUUUCGAAGGGACAAAGUCAAGGAGACUUCAAAGAUGAGAAAUGAUUGCACUGGGCCUUAGAGAGGAAGUUCAGCAGAACAAGGUGGGAAGGGCACGAUAUCAGAGUAAGAGGCACUGAUGGUGAACAAAUAUAGAGACUGGAAUCCAGUGACGUCACACAGGCGCUCUGGAAGCCAGUGAUGCAGUAUCAGAAUCUGGGAACACAAUGAGGCAAUGUUUCAGCUGCUUGUGCAUUCUUCACCUCCCAUUGUCUCUGUCUCUCUCUUUCUCCUCUGCUUCCCCUCACCCCACAACCAAAGUCAAGAGCGCAGACCCCAUGAUCACCUGAUACUUCCAAGCAAGCAGGUGUUCUUUUCAGAAGCCAGAAGCUGAUAACCUGGGCUUUCUGAUCUAACCCCAGCCCAAAUUCAUUGCAAUGGAGGAAUUGGGGAGGAGAUUCUUCCUACUGAGAAGUGGGUGCCAACUCUCCCUUUCAAAUUUGUUCAUCAACAAACUAAAGGGGAUGCCAGAAAUGUCUGGAGCAAUGGAAGAACCACUGGAAUAAUGCUCCUGCCUGAUUGUAUCUACUUAACCCACUCUCCAAGAGCCAGAAUCAGAUUUCAACCGUAUGGAAUCAUCUACAAUGCAGCAGAUGGGUUUACAAGUCUCUUGGUCUCUUCAUGAAGAAGGCGCAGCAAUCGUGUCCCAAGUCCUUGAGGACUUCACAGGGUGUUCUAGUGUCCUGAGAAUAUACCUGCCUAAGGUUUCUCAUCUCUUAAAUAAGUAUAAUAAGAUUCCCCUCGUCUAUUGUGCAGAGAAAAUUUGUGAAGGAAAAAAUACCAUUCUGUGUGUCAAGCUGCUCUGAAAACAUAAAGUUGUCUGUGAUUAUGAAAGAUGAUGAUUAGUUAAACCUAAAUAAGGCUCUGGAAACUGAAAUAUCCCCACACCUUACGACCAGAGCAACAUCAUCACAUUUGAUUCUUCUCUUUCCUCACUCUCCACUCUGCCCAGCACACCAUUCUGACCUGCUGCUCCCUCUCCACUGCUCAAGUGCUCAGGAUUGCAUGGUGUCCUCAGCAACAUACAUUGGAAAACCAUUUUUAAAAAGGCACAAAUGGGCUGGGCACAGUGGUUCACGCCUGUAAUGCCAGCACUUUGGGAGGCCAAGGUGGGUGGAUCACCUGAGAUCAGGAGUUCGAGACCAGCCUGGCCAACAUGGAGAAACCCCAUCUCUACUAAAAAUACAAAAAUUAGGCCUGGCACAGUGGCUCACGCCUGUGAUCCCAACACUUUGGAAGGUCGAGGCAGGCUGAUCACAAGGUCAGGAGUUCGAGACCAGCCUGACCAACAUAGUGAUAUCCCAUCUCUACUAAAAAUACAAAAAAUUACAGGCGUGGUGGCAGAUGCCUGUAAUCCCGGCUACUCAGGAGGGUGAGGGAGGAGAAUCACUUGAACCGAGGAGGCGGAGCUUGCAGUGAGCCAAGAUCUCGCCACCGCACUCCAGCCUGGGUUACACAGUGAG
rnacentral:lncRNA from 1 species